AUCCAGUUGACGAUUCCCAAAUAGGACGAAACGCGCGUCCUGGAU
rfam:Schistosoma mansoni strain Puerto Rico chromosome 4, complete genome